AUUGAACGCUGGCGGCAGGCCUAACACAUGCAAGUCGAACGAGUGGCGGACGGGUGAGUAAUGUCUGGGAAACUGCCUGAUGGAGGGGGAAAAUACCUGAAACGGGAGGUAAAUACUCAUUACCUUGGGAUUGCCCAAAUUGGGAUUAGCUAGUAGGUGGGUAAAAGGCCCACUUAGGCGCCGAUCCCUAGCUGGUCUGAGAGGAUGACCAGCCACACUGGAACUGAGACACGGUCCAGACUCCUACGGGAGGCAGCAGUGGGGAAUAUUGCACAAUGGGCGCAAGCCUGAUGCAGCCAUGCCGCGUGUAUGAAGAAGGCCUUCGGGUUGUAAAGUACUUUCAGCGGGGAGGCGUUACCCGCAGAAGAAGCACCGGCUAACUCCGUGCCAGCAGCCGCGGUAAUUC
rnacentral:rRNA from 1 species